UACGAGGGGGGCAAGCGUUGUUCGGAAUUAUUGGGCGUAAAGGGCGCGUAGGCGGUGCGGUAAGUCACCUGUGAAAUCUCUGGGCUCAACUCAGAGUCUGCAGGCGAAACUGCCGUGCUGGAGUAUGGGAGAGGUGCGUGGAAUUUCCGGUGUAGCGGUGAAAUGCGUAGAUAUCGGAAGGAACACCAGUGGCGAAAGCGGCUUCCUGGUCCAGCACCGACGUUCAGGCACGAAAGCGUGGGGAGCAAACAGG
rnacentral:rRNA from 1 species